GCAUAUCAAAAAGCGGAGGAAAAGAAACUAACAAGGAUUCCCCUAGUAACGGCGAGUGAAGCGGGAUGAGCUCAAAUUUAAAAUCUGGCGGUCUCAGAUCGUCCGAGUUGUAGUCUAGAGAAGCGUUUUCCGUGCUGGCCUGUGUACAAGUCCGUUGGAACACGGCGUCAUAGAGGGUGAGAAUCCCGUCCUUGACACAGAUCUCCAGUGCUUUGUGAUGCGCUCUCAAAGAGUCGAGUUGUUUGGGAAUGCAGCUCAAAAUGGGUGGUAAAUUCCAUCUAAAGCUAAAUAUUGGCGAGAAACCGAUAGCGAACAAGUACCGUGAGGGAAAGAUGAAAAGCACUUUGGAAAGAGAGUUAAACAGUACGUGAAAUUGUUGAAAGGGAAACGAUUGAAGUCAGUCAUGCUUUCCGAGACUCAGCCGGUUCUGCCGGUGUACUUCUCGGUUUGCAGGCCAGCAUCAGUUUUGGGCGGUGGAAAAGGUUGGCGGGAAUGUGGCAUCCUCGGAUGUGUUAUAGCCCGCUUUCGAAUACAUCGCCCGGGACUGAGGAACGCAGCACGCCUCUUGUAGGUCGGUCUUCGGACACGUCCGUGCUUAGGAUGCUGGCAUAAUGGCUUUAAACGACCCGUCUUGAAACCACG
rnacentral:rRNA from 1 species